rnacentral:hammerhead_ribozyme from 1 species
AUCCAGAUGACGAGAUCCGAAUAGGACGAAAUGCGCAUCCCGGAU